AUGCACCAUGUCACACAAGCAUAUGACAGAUUUUUAGUCAUAGACCAUUUUGAUAAGCAUUAUGAUUUUAAAUUUACAAGUGUGAGUGACCUCAUCCGAACAUAUUGCCAUCCAUUCCACAGAUUUGCACUCGCUUUGUUGUUUGGCACAACAGAAUUGUCAGUUUCCAAAAUGCAUAUACUUCUAUUUAUACUGACGUCUUGUAUGCUCACCUUAGAUGCCACCACACAAUUACAUCUUAUAAUUAUGAUUUCUUUUAGAAUUAAAUGGAACUACAUACUGAUUUCAACUUCUAAGUGA
rnacentral:rRNA from 1 species